AUAGGGCACUUGCACCUUUUACUUUUCUCUCUUCCCCAUCACUGCUUGACGGAAUUAGCCAAAAGGCAUGGUCCCUUGAUGCACCUUCAACUCGGUGAAUUAUCACUCGUUGUUGUUUCUUCUCCAGAUGCUGCGAAAGAAGUGUUGAAAACACAUGAUACUAUUUUUGCUA